rnacentral:lncRNA from 1 species
CCCCCCCCAGGGCUCAAGGGUUGUGUUGAGGAAAAGAUCGGUCUUGGAGCCCUGGCUUCUUUUGUAAAUGUCCUUUCUUUGUCACUUGGUCCAAGUCACUACAAGAUUUCUAUUCUGAUGUUCUGGGACAAACUGCCUGCUGGGACAACUCCAUUUGACCAGAAGUUGGGAUGCAUCAGCAGAUGGAGUAAGGAAUGAGUCUGGCUCCCAGUUAGUAAGACCAGCCUCAGGAAGGCCUGGCACGUGUCCCAAGGUCUUCCACGAAGAGGGCACACCCUCCAAGAAAGCCUUGCACCUGAGCCCAGGAUGAGAUCAGCAAACGCUUGACCCAGCUGUGUGUGCAUGGCUGUGGUCCAAAACCUGUCUUGGGUGUGAGCAAAACACACGUCCUUGGGGCGCCAGUACCCUCUGCUCAGAGGCACAGCAGGUGCUGUGGUGGUUCAGGAGAGGUGGCCCUGACCACAGGCAGGAAGGAUGUGAAGCAGUUUCAUUGUGGCCAGCUCUCAGCAGGGACUAUGGAGGAUCACUCCGUGGAAUCUGUCUAGCAAGACCAAGGCACAUGUUAAUGGAACCUGGCCUCUAGCUGAAGGGAGAUGAGAAGAGGUUCUGAGAUCCAGG